GCGAGGCGGGGCGUGCCCGGAAGCCCGCCGGGCGCCCCGGGCCCUUGAGUGGUCCCGCGCGCUCGACCGGAUGCGCCUGCCGCACUCUUGCGUGCCUCGGGGUUCCAGUGCUGCCGAGCGCUAAGAAAAGCAUCGACCUGAGGUUUUAGUAUAAUAAGAGUUGGACAGCGUCUGGCGUUGAGGCACGGAAAAUCUGGAGUGCACGGGACAUCGCACUGGUUUCCUGCCUUUACUCAACGCUGUUCCUCAGCUGAGAAACCCUCUCCUCCUGUUACAUACCUACUCAUGCCUCAAGGGCCAACUCAAAAGUCAACUCCUUGAAGUCGUUGCCAACCCCCCGAGUCAAGAUUGUAUCAUUACACUGUAUUAGAGCACUUGACACACGACACUGUAUUCCUGGAAAAAAUGCAGUCAUGAAGUAUGGGAAAGCUGUAAGAAUAUGUGACUGCCUUGUCAGUCUCGACAGGAAAACAGUGUGAACCACCUCCUGCAGCCCGCUAUCACCUGGGGACAGACGGAGGAGGCCCUGGACACAGAGAUAACCAUGCGUUGCCGAGGCCGUGUGCGUGCUGGUGGAGACAAGUGCGUGGACUGGCAAGCUGACUGGCACUUUGGCAGAAGAGAACUUAAACCUCAGUAAAUUACGUUUAUUUUAAAAGAUUUUGCCGGGCCUGAGACAGAGUGCUGGCGAGCUGAGAAGGCAUACAGCACCCAAAGGAAGCUUGAAAGAACUCCGCUCUUCGCUCAGAGCUCAAGCAGGAGAUUGACAGCUUCACCUCCCCUCCUACCUUCCCGAUGGGCCGCGCCCAUGAGCCAUCUGCAGGGAUGAAGGAAACCAAGAAAGGUCAUGAAGCCCCUGUCCCCAUCUGGCACCAG